AACUACGGAAGAGUCUUCAGAUCUGCAGCCUCAAUGUACGACGUCUGGGAAGAAGAGGAGCGUUAUACAGACCAACUGAGACGUCAUCUGCUCUGUGCUGAAGCUCUGAGAAAACGCUGGAGAACCACAUGGAGGCUCAUCAGAAGCAGCUCAGCCGCCUCUGAGACGAGAUCUAAGAUGAGCAGAGGAUGCUGGACGAACUCAGACUAAGGACACACCAGUAAAUCAAAACAUUGUCUUGGUACUUUGAUUAUUGUUUUAAUAGGUAUAGUUUGCCAUAGAAACGUCAUAGUAUAGUAUAUUAUAAUAUUUUUGUGAAAACAAAUCAGUGUAGUAUGCCAUAUAAAAAUUACAUAUUGUACGUCAUAAAAUGU